rfam:Amborella trichopoda AMTR_V1.0_contig_5653, whole genome shotgun sequence.
CCCAUUGAGUUUAAGCAUAUUAAUAAGUGGAGGAAAAGAAACCUACCAAGAUUCCACUAGUAACGGUGAACAAACCGGGAACUGCCCAGCGUGAGAAUCAAGCGGCCCCACUGCUCGAAUUGUAGUCUGUAGAAGCAUCCUCAGCGGCGAACUGGGCAUAAAUCCCCUGGAACAGGGCGCCUGAGAGGGUGAGAGCCCUGUCAUGCCCGGACCCUGCCGCACCACGAGGCGCUAUGGCGAGUCGGGUUGUUUGGGAAUGCAGCCCUAUUUGGGCGGUAAAUUCCGUUCAAGGCUAAAUACCGACGAGAGAAUAGAGAACAAGUGUCGCGAGGGAAAGAUGAAAAGGACUUUGAAAAGAGAGUCAAAAAGUGCUUGAAAUUGUUGGGAGGGAACCGGAUGGGGGCUGGCAGUGCCCCGCGGUUGGAUGCAAAACGUCCUCAUUGACAAUCUGUUACUCAACAUGCUGAGUGGACCGACGCGGGUCACCGUGGAGGGAGGAGCCCUGGUGAUCGCUCCCCCCCCGAGGGGAUGCCU